AUUGAACGCUGGCGGCAGGCCUAACACAUGCAAGUCGAACGAGUGGCGGACGGGUGCGUAAUGUCUGGUAAACUGCCCGUUGGAGGGGGAUAACUACUGGAAACGGUAGCUAAUACCGCGCACCAUCGGCUGUGCCCAGUUGGGAUUAGCUGGUAGGUGGGGUAACGGCUCACCUAGGCGACGAUCCCUAGCUGGUCUGAGAGGAUGACCAGCCACACUGGAACUGAGACACGGUCCAGACUCCUACGGGAGGCAGCAGUGGGGAAUAUUGCACAAUGGGCGCAAGCCUGAUGCAGCCAUGCCGCGUGUAUGAAGAAGGCCUUCGGGUUGUAAAGUACUGUCAGCGGGGAGGCGUUACCCGCAGAAGAAGCACCGGCUAACUCCGUGCCAGCAGCCGCGGUAAUAC
rnacentral:rRNA from 1 species